GGUUAUGUCUUUGGUGAUUUUCUCCCUCUGUAGCAGCACAGUUGUGGUUAAGAUGUGAUCUUGGGACAUUGAGGGUAUGAGGAUUUUGUACUCUUCCACGGUUAACACAUUUGACCUUCAACAAGUCAUUAGCUGUCUUAGGCACCGCUUAUCCAGGGAUAAACUAUCUGUAUCUCAUUAAUACUCUUAGCAUAAGGGUGUUAAUUACAGGAUAUGCUCAGAUACAUGAGAGAAAUAUUUGGCACAUGUAAACAUCUCUCCUUUGUAGGACUGAGUUCCUCCUUCCAUAGCUUGGGUUUAUGCCAGUGAUGAUCAUAACAGAAACACCUGUUUUUAUGACCUGUUCACUGUGAGCAUAUCAGAUAAUAAUGCACAAAUCAAAACAGGACCUCUUGGACUUCAGCUUUCCUGUAUCAUGCUGCAGUCUCUCAUUUAUGUCUUCAUUAAAGAAGAGUGUAGCAGUUUUUCAGAUCUCAUGGGGAGCUUGAGUGCUUUUGAAAUGUUAAUGUUUUAAUCCUGCUGUUGAUCUCAGCAUGGAGCUGAUCUCACAGUGCAGCCAGUGGAGACCACAGCACCCAACAGGUCUGUCCCUGUCCCAAGGUGACCGAAACUACUCCCACAGGUUGGUGCAGGUUGAUUCAAAUUAAUCCCUACAUGUCCAAGAAGUGCAGCAUUUCACAUGUCUCUGCAACUAACAUGUCUCUGCAAUCCUUAUCAUUGUAGGCCUUACAGAACUUUGCAGAUUGAGGGUUUAUAAAUUUCUGUCUCAUGGAGCUAUACACUUCCAAAAUCUGUUUCUUAAACAAUUGCUCUUUCUGCAUCUAAAGUGCCAGAGGAAAGUAAUACUUUGGAACACCAGAAAAGCACAGAAUUGCCUGGGGAGUUCUUGAACACUGUUAAAAGAGAUCUGUAGCAACACUGAGUUAAAGAUCUCAUGCGUAACAUCUGCAAGGCUGGAAAGACAAAUAAAUAUGUGCAAGAAACAGAGAUAACUGGGAAGAUGUGCAGAAGGGCAUGAUUGCCUUUUUACAUGCAUCCUCAGAUUGCCAUAAAAGAAGGCAAAUCCUUACUAUUCUUAUGACAAUUUCUGGAGUCCUGGAACAGGGUGAGAAUUUAGAGUUAGCUUGCAGAGGUAACGUUUGUGCACCUGCACACAGAAUUGUUGGGGUGGAGGUGGGCACAUGAAGGGACUGAAAAAAAGUGGUGACAAUGACUCACUCAAGAACAUGGGGAAAAUCAGUAGCACAGCUCUCCCCACAUCUAACACGAGAUUCCUCCACUUUUCUGGAGGGUUCUAAAGCUACUUUGUCACAGCAGCAUUCCCAUUACUUUACUAGACAAAUGACCUCAUGUUGAGAGAGUGGAAAAAGGCAAGUUCCUGUCAGUUAGAAGAUCACUGAUGAGAGACACGGUUAUCAUCUCCAGGAAACAUUUUCCAGUGGCCCAUCUGCAGCAACAAGAACCUCAUCAGGUUUUCAUCUCUGCAAUUGAUAAGUAACUGUCAUUGCCUGAUAUAUUGUGAUUUUUAAACACUUGAACACUCUGCUGCAAUGCGAGAUUAAUGCUGGGGUAUGCACAGGUGGGAUCCAUGUUGUGUCUGGUGCAACUGUCAGCCUAGCCUGGCUGCCUCUGUACACACAGAGCUCAUGUACCUUGAUGUUUUAAUCACCCUUUAUUUCCUUCAUUAAUGAAAACUGCCUGUGCUCUGUGGCAAGGGAAAACAGCCAAGAGAUUGGUUGCAAGUCGGUUUCUAACUCAUCAGAAGUCAAUCUUGUAGAGUAUUAAGGAAGCAAAAGGAAUGGUGAAAGUAAAAGGAGAAAAUGGUAAAACUGGACCAGGAAAAGAGUUAAUAUUUUGAGAGCUCAUUCUUUUGUCUCAUGUUCAAUGGACAGUUCCCAUCUGGGGCUUUGGACCUGGAAUUUAAUUGGUGUUGUCAGAGUUGUUGCAGAUAUCAGAAAUGAUUCUUUAACAAGUUUGACUUCAUUUCCCUUCAUUUUUAAACUCCACUUUCACUGGCAGGAACAGUGGAGAUGCCAUAGUAAGGCUCAUGGUGCCCCAAUAAUUUCUCUUUACCAUCCAGGUGUGAACCUGAGCUCACACCUUAAGCAGGGUCUGGAGCAAGUGGCUGGCAUUGAACCCUUUGGGCGAAGCCCACAAUGCUGACUUAGGUAUGGGGAAAAAGAAAUAUUUUAAAAAUCACUUGGCUUUUUCAUUACUGUAAAUUAUUUGGGUUUAGAUCAGCUUCCCUCCAGCAAAAUAAAAUAAUUUAUUGCUCUGCAGGCUUUUUUUUUUUUUCUCCAGAAAUGUAAUGUUUUCUUGGGUUUGGUUAUUGUAUGCUGGUGCAUGAUGAAUAGACAGAUGUAUAAAUUGUUGAACAUGACUAUUUUUGACUAUUACUGAGCACUACAAACUGUAAUACACCUUUCCUCUUUAUGUCACUGCUAUAUUCAGUCCAGCAGGAUGAAACAACAGCAGCAGGUGUUGGGAAGCCCAUUAUCAAUUUCCUUAAUGCUCCCAUGCUGCAGUCACUCAUCUGUCUCCUCAUCAGCCAGAUAUUAAUGUGGCAUCUGUUCCACCUAAUUCCCACCCCCAUCCAUAUUCCCUGCACGCGAACAAUGCAUCCUGCUUACAAUGUCAAUUUCACAGAGAAUGUGCCAUUUCUGUCAGCAUAAUGGUGUUAUUUAUUAGAAGGAAAAAAUUUCAAAGGUUAAGGAUGACACCCUUAUGGACUUCCAGCAGUAUUUCAAACAUAUGAGGCCAUUUUAACAGAAUCAUUGAAACACAGAAUCCCACAAUGAUGUAGGUUGGAAAGGACCUUAAAAAUCAUCUUGUUCCACCCCUUGCCAUGGGCUUCCUUCCACUCUUUCCUCUACCCCAGGUUGCUUCAAACCCCAUCUAACCUGGCCCUGAACUUCCACAGACAGGGCAGCCACAGCUUCUCUGGGCAACCUGCUUAUCCAAACAUGUUUUUCUAAAUGCAUUUAUCAUCUCUCCUGUACAUCUAUCUAAACAAUUGCCACAAACAUUCACUGAAAUCCCUGACUGCACCUCUAGUGGUGAGCUUGAAUGAAUCUCUAAAUCAGCAUCAAACAGAUGGAAUUACAGUUAUGUCUUACCAACACAUUAGUUUGCAAUAUCUGACUAUAGCAAAAAACAUUAUCUGUGGUCACUAGGAGACCAGCCAUUCCACUUCAGCUUAUUUUCCUCAUUAUAUCAUAUAACUAGUCUGAUCGGUGUUGGUAGAAUACUUCAUCCCCAGCCUUUCCAGAUGAGGUUCUGUCUGGACUGAAACAGUGUCACAACUUUAUGCACCAUCUUCUUUGCAUAAAUAUGCAAGAACUCUUGACCCAACUCAGCAGCAUGCCAGAGCAAAAAAAGAGAUUUUUUUCCAACAUUCAUGCUUUAUCUUUUUAUUGUACUGCUUUCUUUCCCCACAGAAAAUAAUUGUAGGGAAGUGGAUCAAAUAUGUUUUCUGGUGAAGUGUGACUUUUUCCACAUAAACAUGUUUUGUCUGGGUUGCAACACACUGAAAACCUUCUAUACAGGGAGUUACAGAAUCCAGAACAGGACAGGCCUUUCACCACAGUUUUCUUUCAGUGUUGUUUAGUUUAGAAUAACUA